ACCAUGCAAGUCGAGCGGUAGAGAGAAGCUUGCUUCUCUUGAGAGCGGCGGACGGGUGAGUAAUGCCUAGGAAUCUGCCUGGUAGUGGGGGAUAACGUUCGGAAACGGACGCUAAUACCGCAUACGUCCUACGGGAGAAAGCAGGGGACCUUCGGGCCUUGCGCUAUCAGAUGAGCCUAGGUCGGAUUAGCUAGUUGGUGGGGUAAUGGCUCACCAAGGCGACGAUCCGUAACUGGUCUGAGAGGAUGAUCAGUCACACUGGAACUGAGACACGGUCCAGACUCCUACGGGAGGCAGCAGUGGGGAAUAUUGGACAAUGGGCGAAAGCCUGAUCCAGCCAUGCCGCGUGUGUGAAGAAGGUCUUCGGAUUGUAAAGCACUUUAAGUUGGGAGGAAGGGUUGUAGAUUAAUACUCUGCAAUUUUGACGUUACCGACAGAAUAAGCACCGGCUAACUCUGUGCCAGCAGCCGCGGUAAUACAGAGGGUGCAAGCGUUAAUCGGAAUUACUGGGCGUAAAGCGCGCGUAGGUGGUUUGUUAAGUUGGAUGUGAAAUCCCCGGGCUCAACCUGGGAACUGCAUUCAAAACUGACUGACUAGAGUAUGGUAGAGGGUGGUGGAAUUUCCUGUGUAGCGGUGAAAUGCGUAGAUAUAGGAAGGAACACCAGUGGCGAAGGCGACCACCUGGACUAAUACUGACACUGAGG
rnacentral:rRNA from 1 species